rnacentral:lncRNA from 1 species
AAGCUCUUAUGUGCAUGCAAGCAUGGAGUCGUGCUAAUAUGUUUGGUAAUAAUCCAUUCAUUUCAGUCAUGAAUAAUUAUGAAUUGUAUUUUGUUUUCUUUGACUAUCUUCUAACUAAAUGUCGAAUAACUUUGCUUUAGAUAAUGUCACAUCCGACCACUUUGCGAUUCAAUCUGUUCUUGAAGAUGAACAAGAAGCUAUGGUAACAAUAUGUUGCAUCCAUUUACAACUUAUCCUGUUCAUACCAAUGAUAUUAUUGUGUACAUCCUUACCUUAUACUUUUUAUUUCUUUUGCAGGAGGAAUGUGAAUCUGAAAUCACCAUUGAAGACUAAAAUGAGCAAGUGGCGUGCAGGAGGGUCAUGUUGUUCGCAUUGAAGCAUGGGCGCACAUUGUUGUUGUUCAUUCCAUGUUGUUUGGCUCAUCGGCUGAUUGUUCUUAGCAGCAUUGCAAGUUUGCAAAUUAUUGUUUUUCUCAAUGUUAGUUUGUAAUGGAGAAUAAGACCUUUAAUUAUGUGUCAAUUGUCAUUGUGAACUUUUAUGUAAGUGCAAACCUGAUUCUGAUGGAUGAGUACCUGAAUUUAGACCUUUUUCUCAUCUUAAUUUUGUUACGUCAAUGCUAU